AUCUAUCUAUCUUUCUAUCUAUCUAAUACAUAAUAUAUAUAUAUAUAUAUAUAUAUAUAUAUAGUGUGUGUGAUUUAAAUUGCAUGACAUAUAAUCAGUACUUAGAAAUCCAUGUGCAUCCUUAUAUUUCAAGAGAAAACUGCAAAGGGAACUUGUAUCAUAGUUCAAGUAUCCUUUCACUGGUUUCCAUAUUUAGGAGGAUCACGGUAUACAUAUAGAAAAAGCAAAAGUGGAGAGUAAUUUCAUAAAUUAAUAACGUUAACUAACACAUGUUUCAGUGAACAUUAUGGUUGAAUUAAGCAAUCCUGGCUAAGUAAAUUAUCUGGAUCCUUACUUCAUCAGUGAUUUGCAUAGGUUUUGUAUGAAUCUCUGUUGAAAUGAUGAACUAGAAAACUUAUCUGGUACAAAUUAUGUAAUUCAUGAACUGACUCUCCAGUUUUCUUUAUAUAUGUAUGUAGGUAGCUAUCUCUGUCUGCAUAUAUGUAUGUAUGUAUAUAUGCAUGUAUUUACUUACAGAUACACAUAUAAAUUAUAAAUAUGUAUGUUUUUAUGUAUGCAUGAAUAUUUGUAUGAAUGUAUGCAUGUGUAUAUCUAUCUAUCUGUCUGUCUGUCUAUAUAUAUAUAUAUAUAUAUAUAUAU
rnacentral:lncRNA from 1 species